CUGGCGGCGUGCCUAACACAUGCAAGUCGAACGAGAAAGUGGAGCAAUCCAUGAGUAAAGUGGCGACCGGGUGAGUAACACGUGACUAACCUGCCCUCGAGUGGGGAAUAACCCCGGGAAACCGGGGCUAAUACCGCAUAACAUCGCAAGAUCAAAGCCGAAAGGCGCUUGAGGAGGGGGUCGCGGCUGAUUAGCUAGUUGGUAGGGUAACGGCCUACCAAGGCAAAGAUCGGUAGCCGGCCUGAGAGGGCGCACGGCCACACUGGAACUGAAACACGGUCCAGACUCCUACGGGAGGCAGCAGUGGGGAAUUUUGCGCAAUGGGGGAAACCCUGACGCAGCAACGCCGCGUGGAGGAUGAAGUCCUUUGGGACGUAAACUCCUUUCGACCCGGACGAUACUGACGGUACGGGUGGAAGAAGCACCGGCUAACUCUGUGCCAGCAGCCGCGGUAAUACAGAGGGUGCGAGCGUNGUUCAGAAUUAUUGGGCGUAAAGGGCGCGU
rnacentral:rRNA from 1 species